CUACGGGAUGCAGCAGUGAGGAAUAUUGCACAAUGGGGGGAACCCUGAUGCAGCAACGCCGCGUGGAGGAUGACGCAUUUCGGUGUGUAAACUCCUUUUAUAUGUCAAGAAAAUGACGGUAGCAUAUGAAUAAGCACCGGCUAACUCCGUGCCAGCAGCCGCGGGUAAUACGGAGGGUGCAAGCGUUACUCGGAAUCACUGGGCGUAAAGGACGCGUAGGCGGGUUGAAAAGUCAGGUGUGAAAUCCUACAGCUUAACUGUAGAACUGCACUUGAAACUUCUAAUCUAGAGUAUGGGAGGGGGAGAUGGAAUUAGUGGUGUAGGGGUAAAAUCCGUAGAUAUCACUAGGAAUACCUAAAGCGAAGGCGAUCUCCUGGAACAUUACUGACGCUAAGGCGUGAAAGCGUGGGGAGCAAACAGGAUUAGAUACCCCUGUAGUC
rnacentral:rRNA from 1 species